rnacentral:lncRNA from 1 species
GAAAAAAUUAUGGCUAACAAAAGAUGACUUAAAAUCAUAUCCUAUUCCUGGGCACAACAACAAUCUCGACACAGAAACCAUGGCAUGUUCUAGAAGAUCACCACAUGCAUGACAAAACUCACAACAAAGAAUAAACUAUGUAUGAUAGACAGUUAUGGCUCAAAUCCCCACAGGCUUAUUCAACGUCAAAAGUCAAGGUUAAAAUCACUUUUCCAUCAUGCAAAUUAGUUCAAAUCAUCAAGAAAAAAAAAUGAAAAUAAAAAAUUUUCAAAGAAAUCAUCAUAGGCAUCUCACCAAAAAUCAAAUGGAACAAUAAUCAACUCAAAAAUAAAUCACACACCACCAACCAAGCAAGAUAAAAUAAUAAAGCCAACAAAAAAAAAGUGAUACACAUAUCUAAUCUCACCCCCUCCCCCAAACUUAUUACAGAACAUAAGUUCGAAAAUAAGUUUGGAGAGAUGAUGAUAUGUGUGUCACUACUCACAGAAACAUAUGCUCCAAGGUGGUGGUAUGGACAUGGCGUAAAUUCCGCAUCUUCCAAGCUCAACUGCACUAAACUCCC